ensembl:lncRNA
AUGAACUUAUGUAGUGGACAUUGGAGCAGUCUUUCUGUUAGUGCUGGCAUUCCCAGUGUUAGAAGGGACCCUAUUCAGUCAACAUGUAUUUAUCAGUUGUUUCAGAGGGAAAAGGAGUCUAUUAGAGGAUAUGAAGAUACUUUCAAAAUCACCAGAGGGCCGGAAAGUCAGGCUUGUGGGCCAGGAGGUCAGAACAAGGCUGAAACCAACCACACCCUGGGAGUGAAUCAGAAAGGGUCUCUGCAGCUGCCCGCAAGUCUGGAACCCCACAGCACAGCACAUGCCACUGUUGCCCCUAGGAGCUGGACACCAUCACUGCCACCCUUUCUAGGAAAUGGAUUCUGCACCGCUGCAUUGCUCAUGAGCUCAAUUCCAAAUGAAGCUGUUUGUGAGAAUAUCUGAUUGGCAGAGCUUGGGUCACAUGGUGAGGUCGAGCUGCAAGGGAAUCAGGGAAAGUCAGUUUUCUGGCUUCAGCUGUGGGGAUGUAAGAACCCCUAAGGUAGGAAAUUCCCCAAAUACAGGAAUGAUGUCAAGGAUUUGGGGCUUAACUGCUUUCACAUCAUCACAUGGUCUGCUGUGGUCAGGAGGGCUGGAGAGGGGCAGGGAGGGUCAAUCAUCUUUGUAGAAAUAAAAAAGAAUACAGCCGGGUAUGGUGGCUCACGCCGGUAAAGCCAGCACCUUGGGAGGCUGAGGCGGGUGGAUCACGAGGUCAAUAGAUGGAGACCAUCCUGACCAACAUGGUGAAACUCCUUCUCUACUAAAAACACAAAAAUUAGCCAGGUGCCGUGACACAAGACUGUAGUCCUUGCUGCUCGGGAGGCUGAGGCAAGGAGAAUCACUUGAACCCAAGAGGCAGAGGUUACAGUGAGCCAAGGUUGCACCACUGCACUCCAGCCUGGCGACAGAGCGAGACUCCAUCUCUAAAUAAAUAAACAAAUAGCCUCAAAUAACCAAACCCAAACAUUUGGGAAAUUCAAAAAAUGCUACCUCCUGAAAACUAUGUCUAUAUAUUUGCAAUAAACGUAACAAACCCUCUCAAUAGGUGGUACUCAAGGGAGCUGUGCAGUGAGUUUGGAUGAAUGUUUAACCAACACUGAACAAACAUCCGGAUUAAAAGGCGUGUUAUUCCAGGUUACAGUUUCUCUCAAGCUAAGGGCAGAUGCUUUCUCUCAAAGACACAAACUGGAAAGGCCUGACUCAGUUGCCCAAAUUAGGUUUGUCCGUUGGGUCGUGGGUCAAGGACUGGAAGGACCCAAUGGGACAGAAAUCUGAGACGGAAGCAUUUUGGCACAUCCAGAGGAAGAUGGGUUAAGGAAGCAAGAUGAAGGUCGGGCAGAGAAGCUGCUUUCUUAAGAAAAAGCUGCAUUUUUUCUUAAAGCAACUUGUAAUGAGAUCAUGAGUUUCAUUGAUGCAGGAAGCUGGUUGAGUUGGCAGAGUGGUUUUUUGCAUUAACAGAAACAAAUUACUGCUUGAUUCAGAUAAUAAAUAAUGCACUUCUAAACACAGAGCGAAAUCUAUUAAACAAAUGGCUGCGGAAUAAAAGGUCAAAAUGAAACUGGGGCAAGAUGAUUUUUAUGCAGCUCAAUAUUUUCUGUUUAUAGUCUGACUUGGAGCCAAA